rnacentral:lncRNA from 1 species
AUGUCAGUGGUCUUAGCGAAGCUCUCAGCAGAGCAUUGCAGUCAACUCUGGAUUAUCCACGGGUGGGUUACAGUGUUGUGCAUCGCCCGUGCAGUCUGCGGAGCCAAGACCAGCCCCCGUCUCACGCCACGCUCCGGCCGGGCGCUGUGUGCCAAAGCACGGGGAAGCUGGAGGUGCUGGCUCUGCUUCCAGGGAGCCCCAUUGCAGGCUGCAUUGCUGGGCUGCAGCACAGCACUGCCGGGGGUUCUGCCUCUUGGCUGCUCAGAUGCAUCUGCAGGAAGCUGCGGGCUGUGGACAGGUGGUGAAAUGAGAGCCCUCCACGAUCUGCAGGCAGCCAGUGCUUCCCUGGUACACAGCUUCUCACGCAGGCAGAAGCAGAGGGGCUGAAAGAAAGAAGUUUUCUUGGUGCUCAUGAGGAGUCUGUAGCGCCCUGGGUGCGAGCAAGAGCUGUGGAGUUCAGCGGAGAGUAAAUCCAUCUUGUCCCAGAUCACUCAGUUGUCCUCCCUCAUUGUCCUCUCUCAGGGCAAGGAAGCACCACAUCCAAGUCACAGCCACCUCCAGGACUGCUGUCAGUCUACAGAAGUAUCAUGAAAGUAUGGUGGAUCUCAUUCUCUCACGGGACAUAAGGAUAAACCACCACAUUCUCUUCUGUUUAGAUGCCUCUAAAAAGCCCAGAGGCAUCAGUAGCACUCCCAAGUGCUUCCAAGCCCCUGUAUACUUUAGAUGAGUGAGCUUGCAUAGAUUUAGGAUCCUUAAAGCACAUUUGUUUGCUUUAGACAGGACUGAGAUUGUCUUGAAAAUGCUACUAUUCUGUUUUGGGGAAAAAAAAUCUUAUGUCUACAGCAGAGAUGCCAUCUCGUGUGGCAUGACUGGGAGCCCAGGCAUGAUCUGGGGCACUGGGGCACCCAAAGCCCUUGCUCGGGUCUUUUGUAAGCAGAUGGUUUACUUUGUGUUCUUUCAAUUUCUAUUCCUUUUAGUGAUGCUAAGGCAAAAAGAGAAAUCCAUAUGCUCCUCCCAAGUUUUGAAAAUACCAGCACAAACGUUGUAGCUGGUGGCGAUUUCACUGUAGAGACAGACUUGAGGGAUGAUGACUUUUUGUUUUGUAAAACACUUUAACUUCCUGAAAUAGCUAUUAAAAAAAAAAAAAAAAAAAAAAAAAAACAACCAAACCUGACUCCAAAGCACUUUGUGUUUUGAAAUACUUUUGUAAGUGAAAUUACACAUUCAAGUUCUCACAGAGUUUUUAGUAGAACAAAACAUUUGGACCCCAGUAACUUUUGCUAAAGGCUUUCAGAGCUGCUAACAUCUAGAAAGACUGUUUUUGCAUGGGGCUAAUUAGACCCUUUAAAAGAAUAAGACAAAUUAAACUCAACAAUGCAGUUCGACU